AGCUGACUCCUGUCUUCCUGUUGGUGGACUUGUUUUCUUGGGGCAGACUGCUGUACCCGGGCGCUGGCUCUUUGCCGGAACCAACACGUCUGCCUGAUUUGCCGACCGCCCAGGCUCACAGGAUCAAGCUGAAAAGAACCAGGGCCGCGUGGUGCACCUGGGUCUCGGGUCACCCCUUCGACUGAAUGGUCAAGUCCCCAAAGCACUGGGCCAAGUCUUCAUGAAACCUACCUGAUCACUGGACUUCUCCCCUUCAAAAACAAAACAGAACCUCACCAGCGGCGGGGAAGUGUCCUCUGGCGUAGUGGUGCCCGGGGAGCAAAGUGCAGCGGACCACAGGGUCUUGGGCCUGCACUGCGAGAUCUUGCUCCCAGGGCCCAGUAGGCCCCCUUCCUGCACCCCGGGAGUCACACAGUCCCCGGCCCAGGCCCUCAAUCCAGGCUGGAAGGCGGCACCCUCAGCCCGGGCGGCCAGGAAGCAGGGCUGAGUUUGCGGUGAGCAACCCACAGUUGAAAUGGAGUCUUCCACAGUGGCCCCAUGGCCUCCUGCACCCCAGACCUCCUGCCUCUGCCCUCCUGCCUGCGCUCCUCUUCUGCUCCUGCUCCCUUCCAACCCGAUCCUCGGUCGCAUGCUGAGCACAGGGCAGGCGUCUCUGGCCGUCACCUUCGGGGACCACGCAGCAUCUGCACACCAGGGGCCAGCACCACAGCCCACGCUGAGCCACCUCUGAGCAGCACCCAGAACCUUUGUCUGGGUGACACUUACUGCAGCACAGCAUGUGCUCGGAGAGCAGGCCACCUGGCUGCAUGCAGGGGUCUCGCAGGUGGCAGCUGCCAGUCCCUGAUGCCCGGCCGUGGCAGAGCAGCCCAGGGUCCCCGGCCAGCUGGGCACCCAGACCCCAGAGUCCCCAUGAACUCAAGGCCCCGCCCCUCUGUUCUGCUAUGAAAAAUGGAUGCGCUGGUGGGGAAAUCCUGCUGUGCCUUCCGAGUCAGGAACUGAAGGAAAAUUUAGCUUUUGAUAUUAUUCAGUCCCUUUUGCUAUUUGAAUUCACUUCCAUCAUAAAUGGCUGGCGC
rnacentral:lncRNA from 1 species